rnacentral:rRNA from 1 species
CGGGAAGCCUGAUGCAGCGACGCCGCGUGAGGGAUGACGGCCUUCGGGUUGUAAACCUCUUUCAGGAGGGACGAAGCUACUCGGGUUAAUAGCCCAGAGGGUGACGGUACCUCCAGAAGAAGCCCCGGCUAACUACGUGCCAGCAGCCGCGGUAAUACGUAGGGGGCAAGCGUUGUCCGGAAUCAUUGGGCGUAAAGCGCGUGUAGGCGGCCAGAAAAGUCCGCUGUAAAAACUCGAGGCUCAACUUCGAGCUGUCGGUGGAAACUUUCUGGCUAGAGUCCGGAAGAGGAGAAUGGAAUUCCUGGUGUAGCGGUGAAAUGCGCAGAUAUCAGGAAGAACACCCGUGGCGAAGGCGGUUCUCUGGGACGGUACUGACGCUGAGACGCGAAAGCGUGGGGAGCGAACAGGAUUAGAUACCCUGGUAGUCCACGCCGUAAACGAUGGGUGCUAGGUGUGGGGGGUGUCGACUCCCUCCGUGCCGAAGCUAACGCAUUAAGCACCCCGCCUGGGGAGUACGGCCGCAAGGCUA